UAGGGAAUCUUCGGCAAUGGACGAAAGUCUGACCGAGCAACGCCGCGUGAGUGAAGAAGGUUUUCGGAUCGUAAAACUCUGUUGUUAGAGAAGAACAAGGACGUUAGUAACUGAACGUCCCCUGACGGUAUCUAACCAGAAAGCCACGGCUAACUACGUGCCAGCAGCCGCGGUAAUACGUAGGUGGCAAGCGUUGUCCGGAUUUAUUGGGCGUAAAGCGAGCGCAGGCGGUUUCUUAAGUCUGAUGUGAAAGCCCCCGGCUCAACCGGGGAGGGUCAUUGGAAACUGGGAGACUUGAGUGCAGAAGAGGAGAGUGGAAUUCCAUGUGUAGCGAUGAAAUGCGUAGAUAUAUGGAGGAACACCAGUGGCGAGGGCGGCUCUCUGGUCUGUAACUGACGCUGAGGCUCGAAAGCGUGGGGAGCAAACAGG
rnacentral:rRNA from 1 species